rnacentral:lncRNA from 1 species
UUCUUUGCCCUCAGGAAACCUACAGGUCCCUCACAAUCAAUCGGAAGAGUGAAGAGCCUGCAUAACCCCAUUAAAUCACGACUGAAGAGCCUGCAUAACCCCCAUUAAAUCGUCCUCUCAAAUCCCCCUUGCAGGUCCAAAUCCCCCUUGCUGGUCCAGGUUUCCACGGCAAUCAACAACCCCUUCAAAGAUCCCAAUCAGAUUAUUGGUAAAGUUCGAUUCUUUUUUAGUUUUUCAAGUUAAAAAACAUAUUUUUAGGUGAUGUUAGCUGUGGUUCUUCAAAAACAGGUGUGAUCUAUCAUGAUUUCUUUUAUUCACCAUGAUUUCUUGACUAAUGCUGUGAUUAUCGGGUGGCACGAAGUCAUAUUUCACAUUUCUAUAUAGUUUUUGAGUUAUGCAUACAAGUUGCUCGAUGAAAUGCCGGACUAAUUUUUUAUUCACACUUGGAUUAACUGAUAUUGAAUUUUGGAACAUGGAACAUAGAAGUCAUGCCUUUUUGUGACUUUCAGAAAGUCAAAGCUGGUAUUCUCAUACCUCAGUUUGAUGCACAUAGAGUAAUUUUGUAAUCUUCAAAUUAUUUGGAUUCUUAAUUUUAUUAUAGUGGUUCGUAACUUAUUAUCAAAGGAAUAAUAAUUUUUCUUAUAUAAUAUAUGCCAAAUGAUGAACACCAUAAAAAAAGAUUAUUUAUAGAAAGUAUUUGGGUUAGCUUAAUUAAGAGGGGCUUACAAUAUGUUUAGCUUGCCCUUUUUCUCAAGCAUAUUUUUGUCAACACACCAUUUAAUAGGCUAAGCCAAACACUCACUAGACGGGUGACAUGUUCUGUUGACGCGACUCGGCUCGGUUCGACUCGACUCGGUACGACUUGGUUUUGACACGGUUAGGUCCGGCUCAAACCCGAUGUCACGACAUUCCUCCGUCGUGCGCCCCAGAGUUCGACACGCGAAGCACGGCGAGCCGCGAACUUCUCCCGUUGCCACAUCAUCAUGACAUCAUCAUGAUGAUGUCAUGAUGAUGUCACUAUUUUGUCUUAUGCAAAUAAGUGAACUUUGAAUGAUUUUGACGAAACAAAUUUUGUUUCGUCAAAUUUGUAGUAGGCAUAGGCCUGUUUCGUCGCCUGUGGGCUUCUUCAGGCCCAAGGUUUGGCCCAAAAUUUGAUUCGUCGAGUCCUUUGUGUUUCGUCAAGUCUGUGUCUCUUUUUAGUAUAAAUAGGUCUCAGUUUCUGUGUGAAACUUAGAUGAGAGAAUACCCGGAGAGAGUUAUUCUGUAAAACUGUGUGUGUAUCAGUUGUUCUCGGUUCUCAUCCCGUUUAAUCAAUAGAUUGUGUUUCAUUGGUUAAAUCGUGUUCUUAUUUUAUACUUUGUUUGGUUUGCACCGUCACGGGGAUUCCGCACCCGUUACCGUGUUUGUGAUAAACAAGGAUAAGGUUUUCGUUAUCGAUCCAUCGGAAAAAAGGGACCUACAAUUGGUAUCAGAGCUUGGCUCUAAUCCUUGUUUAAAACCAAACAAGUUUUGGGUUCUUAUCAAGUGGUUUUUAGUGAUUUUUCAGAUUUUGUUCUUUAAAAAAUUAUAUAUUUUCUGAAAAAGUCUUUUAAAUCAGUGAAAUCCUUGUUAUUUUGCUAUAAGUUUUAGUGGAAACCGAAAAAAAUUGCAUGUCUACAUGUUAGCAUUUGGUUUUUGUUAAAAGUUUAAGCAAAAUUUGUGUUCGGAAAAUUUAUCGGUCACCGGAAUAUUCAAAGUGUUCAGCAGGAUCUUCAUAUUGAUCAUGCUUGUUCUUCAAAAAUUAUUGUGUUUGAUCAUUUUUUGAAUUACUGGUGAAGUUGUUAUUGUGUUUAUCAAUAUUAAAUUGCAAGUGUAUUGACUAUUAUGUACAAGUGUAAUGAUGCUUGUUGAAAAUAACAAGCUUUGAAAUCAGAUAAAGUGGCCGAAAGUAUAGUUUGAAAUUGGACAUCUUGGGCAGGUUUGUGUCAGAAGGAUAAGGCCUUUUUUUUUUUUUAAAAAAAAAUUGUCAACAGCUCCCUCUCAUCUUAUCCAUUUGUUGGUCAUUUGGACACGAAACCCACUAGAGUUUCACCAUAGUCAAAUAUUAGGUUUUGUCACUUAGUGAUUUCAAUUAAAAAAAAUAAAUAAAUAAAAUUAGUCAAACACGUGUUACGUCAACCAGAUUUAAUUUUUCUUGUUUCGUCGAGUAGUGUUGGGAUUAUUUGGGUAUCAAAAUAAUUUUCCAUUUCGUC